AUUGAACGCUGGCGGCAGGCUUAACACAUGCAAGUCGAGCGGAGAUGAGGUGCUUGCACCUUAUCUUAGCGGCGGACGGGUGAGUAAUGCUUAGGAAUCUGCCUAUUAGUGGGGGACAACAUUCCGAAAGGAAUGCUAAUACCGCAUACGUCCUACGGGAGAAAGCAGGGGAUCUUCGGACCUUGCGCUAAUAGGUGAGCCUAAGUCGGAUUAGCUAGUUGGUGGGGUAAAGGCCUACCAAGGCGACGAUCUGUAGCGGGUCUGAGAGGAUGAUCCGCCACACUGGGACUGAGACACGGCCCAGACUCCUACGGGAGGCAGCGGUGGGGAAUAUUGGACAAGGGGGGGAACCCUGAUCCAGCCAUGCCGCGUGUGUGAAGAAGGCCUUAUGGUUGUAAAGCACUUUAAGCGAGGAGGAGGCUACUGAGACUAAUACUCUUGGAUAGUGGACGUUACUCGCAGAAUAAGCACCGGCUAACUCUGUGCCAGCCGCCGCCGUAACAC
rnacentral:rRNA from 1 species